CCUACGGGUGGCUGCAGUGGGGAAUAUUGGACAAUGGGCGAAAGCCUGAUCCAGCCAUGCCGCGUGUGUGAAGAAGGCCUUCGGGUUGUAAAGCACUUUCAGUGGGGAAGAAAGCCUUGGGGCUAAUACCCUCGAGGAAGGACAUCACCCACAGAAGAAGCACCGGCUAACUCCGUGCCAGCAGCCGCGGUAAUACGGAGGGUGCGAGCGUUAAUCGGAAUUACUGGGCGUAAAGCGCGCGUAGGCGGUCUGAUAAGCCGGUUGUGAAGGCCCCGGGCUCAACCUGGGAACGGCAUCCGGAACUGUCAGGCUAGAGUGCAGGAGAGGAAGGUAGAAUUCCCGGUGUAGCGGUGAAAUGCGUAGAGAUCGGGAGGAAUACCAGUGGCGAAGGCGGCCUUCUGGACUGACACUGACGCUGAGGUGCGAAAGCGUGGGUAGCAAACAGGAUUAGAUACCCGGGUAGUC
rnacentral:rRNA from 1 species